rnacentral:ribozyme from 1 species
UGCCCAGCAACUCCUAUCCCUACCUCUUCGCGGUACUGGCCGGAGUACGAGCAACCUCAGGACAAAUCGGGUAACCAGCCCCGGAGGG